GACGAACCGUGCGAACGUUAUUCGGAAUCACUGGGCUUAAAGGGUGCGUAGGCUGCGAGGAGGGUGGGGUGUGAAAUCCCUCGGCUUAACCGAGGAAUUGCGCUCCAAACCGCCUUGCUGGAGUGAGACAGAGGUGAGCGGAACUAAUGGUGGAGCGGUGAAAUGCGUUGAUAUCAUUAGGAACACCAGAGGCGAAGGCGGCUCACUGGGUCUCAACUGACGCUGAUGCACGAAAGCUAGGGUAGCGAAC
rnacentral:rRNA from 1 species